GAUGAACGCUGGCGGCGUGCUUAACACAUGCAAGUCGAACGAGAAGUGAAGACGGAAACCUUCGGGCGGAAGGCUUUAUUUCGAGUGGCGGACGGGUGAGUAACGCGUGGGUAACCUGCCUCAUACAGGGGGAUAACAGUUGGAAACGACUGUUAAUACCGCAUAAGACCACAGCACCGCAUGGUGCGGGGGUAAAAACUCCGGUGGUAUGAGAUGGACCCGCGUUCGAUUAGCCAGUUGGCGGGGUAACGGCCCACCAAAGCGACGAUCGAUAGCCGAUCUGAGAGGAUGACCGGCCACAGUGGGACUGAGACACGGCCCAAACUCCUACGGGAGGCAGCAGUGGGGAAUAUUGCACAAUGGGGGAAACCCUGAUGCAGCGACGCCGCGUGAGUGAAGAAGUAUUUCGGUAUGUAAAGCUCUAUCAGCAGGGAAGAAAAUGACGGUACCUGAGUAAGAGGCCCCGGCUAACUACGUG
rnacentral:rRNA from 1 species